GGGGGUGACCUGGCUUCGACGUGGGUUGCGAAACCUGAAGUGCAUGCCGAGAAUGAGAUCUCUCGUAAAACAGGCUCAACUAAACACAAAUGCAAACGAUGAAAACUUUGCUGGUGCUAUCGCUGCGUAAGCAACAAUAGUUACCACAGCGCGCUGCCAUAAAACCAGCGUCCCGUUGACCGAGCCUGCUCGGCGGUAUCGAAUCAACGGUCAACUACGACGAGCUAGCAAUUUGAUUUGUCUCGAAUCAAGUUGCGAAAUUUAGAGACUCGCUGUUAACCAUCCUGCCUGUCGGAGGGGAAACAGUCAAACUCAAAUGACAACGCUACGCAUGUAGAUCUGAUGGCAGAGAAUUUGCGGACGCGGGUUCGAUUCCCGCCGCCUCCACCA
rnacentral:tmRNA from 1 species